GACGAACGCUGGCGGCGUGCCUAACACAUGCAAGUCGAACGAUGAACCCGGAGCUUGCUCCGGCGGAUUAGUGGCGAACGGGUGAGUAACACGUGAGUAACCUGCCCUUGACUCUGGGAUAACUGCGGGAAACUGUAGCUAAUACCGGAUACUUUCACUGGAAGGCAUCUUCUGGUGAAGAAAGAAUUUCGGUCAAGGAUGAGCUCGCGGCCUAUCAGCUUGUUGGUGAGGUAACGGCUCACCAAGGCGACGACGGGUAGCCGGCCUGAGAGGGUGACCGGCCACACUGGGACUGAGACACGGCCCAGACUCCUACGGGAGGCAGCAGUGGGGAAUAUUGCACAAUGGGCGCAAGCCUGAUGCAGCAACGCCGCGUGAGGGAUGAAGGCCUUCGGGUUGUAAACCUCUUUUAGCAGGGAAGAAGCGAAAGUGACGGUACCUGCAGAAAAAGCACCGGCUAACUACGUGCCAGCAGCCGCCGUAA
rnacentral:rRNA from 1 species